GUUGUGGGUUGGGGUCGAAGGCGGUCGUUUGGGGGUCAAAGGUCCCAUGUUUGGGGUCAAAGGUCAUCGUUGGGGUCAAAGGUCGUGGGUUGGGGGGUCAAAGGUCGUGAUUUUGGGGUCAGAGGUCUUGUGUUUGGGGUCAAUGGUCCCAUAUUUGGGGUCAAAGGUCAUCAUUUUGGGGUUCAAAGGUCAUCAUUGUAGGACACCAAGGUCAACGUUGAGGGUCAGAGGUCAACACUGGGGGUCAAAGGUCACAAUUUUCGGGACAAAGGUCGUGGGUUGGGGGUCAAAGGUCAACACUGGGGGUCAAAGGUCGACGUAUUGGAGUUGUAGGCCCCAUAUUCGGGGUCAAAGGUCACAGAUUUGGGGUCAAAGGUCACAGAUUGGGGGUCGAAGGUGGAUUUGGAGGUCAAAGGUCAACUCUGGAGGUCAAAGGUCAACUCUGCGGGGUCAAAGGUCAUCGUUGGGGGGUCAAAGGUCAAAGAUUGGAGGGUCAAAGGUCAGAUUUUGGGGUCAAAGGUCAAAGUUGGGGGUCAGAGGUCAACGCUGGGGUCAAAGUUCGUCGCUUGGGGGUCGGAGGUCCCACAUUUGGGGUCAAAGGUCACAGAUUGGGGUCAAGGUGACAGAUUGA
rnacentral:lncRNA from 1 species